GCUCACUUUGGCAGGACAUAUACUAAAAUUUGAAUGAUAAAGAAAAGAUUAGCAUGACCCCUGCACAAAGAUGACAGUCAAAAUUGUGCAGUGUUCUGUAUUUUU
ensembl:snRNA U6 U6 spliceosomal RNA